UUUGAUCAUGGCUCAGAAUGAACGUUGGCGGCGUGGAUUAGGCAUGCAAGUCGAGCGAGAAUCCCCGCAAGGGGAGGAAAGCGGCGAAAGGGAGAGUAAUACGUAGGUACCUGCCCUCAGGACCGGGAUAGCUGCGGGAAACUGCAAUUAAUACCGGAUGACGUCUCUGGACCAAAGGUGUGAUUCCGCCAGAGGAUGGGCCUGCGUCCUAUCAGCUAGUUGGUGUGGUAAAGGCGCACCAAGGCGAAGACGGGUACGGGGUGUGAGAGCAUGCCCCCGCUCACUGGGACUGAGACACUGCCCAGACACCUACGGGUGGCUGCAGUCGAGAAUCUUCCGCAAUGGGCGCAAGCCUGACGGAGCGACGCCGCGUGCGGGAUGAAGGCCUUCGGGUUGUAAACCGCUGUCAGUGGGGAGCAAAUGCAUAGGGGUUCUCCCCUAUGCUUGAGCGAUCCGCAGAGGAAGCACAGGCUAAUUCCGUGCCAGCAGCCGCGGUAAUACGGAAUGUGCAAACGUUAUUCGGAAUCACUGGGCUUAAAGAGUCCGUAGGCGGCAUGUUAGGUGAGGUGUGAAAUCCCCCGGCUUAACCGAGGAAUUGCGCUUCAAACCGGCGUGCUUGAGGAAGAUAGAGGUGGGCGGAACUGAUGGUGGAGCGGUGAAAUGCGUUGAUAUCAUCANGAACACCGGANGCGAANGCGGCCCACUGGGUCUUUUCUGACGCUGANGGACGAAAGCUAGGGGAGCGAACGGGAUUAGAUACCCCGGUAGUCCUAGCCUUAAACG
rnacentral:rRNA from 1 species